AAUACCACUUUCUGCUAUUAUUUUCAAUAAUAAUAGCAGAGUAUGAAGAGAAAUGAAGAAUGAGAAAUGAGAUUUCGUAUGAAGAAAUGAGAAAUGAAGCAGUGAAGUGCUGGGCAUUGUCUGGCAAACACUUUCAGGGAUGGCCUGAACUAUACAGACCAGAAAAACAGUGUUGCUGUCCCCUUCAAGGCCAGAGUGAUGGUAGGCAUGGCAGUCACCAGCUAAGUUUAGUUGUGUGCAGCAGAAAGAUAACUUCAUUAGCAUCAUUUGUAAAAGUCGGUGUGGGAGCACCAAUGAGGCCUAGAAGAAAGAAAGCGUGGAACCUGUUCUAAGCGUUUAUCAUCCUGAGGUACUCUCAGAGAAUUAAUCAAAAUCAUUUGAGUGAAUGAGUAAUUUCUGGUGAUGAAAUUGAAAGGAUCCAGUGACAUUAUUACUUGGA
rnacentral:lncRNA from 1 species